rnacentral:rRNA from 1 species
GACGAACCGUGCAAACGUUGUUCGGAAUCACUGGGCUUAAAGGGCGCGUAGGCGGUCUGUUAAGUCGGCGGUGAAAUACUUUGGCUCAACCAGAGAAUUGCCGCUGAAACUGGCAGGCUUGAGGGAGGUAGAGGUGCGUGGAACUUCCGGUGGAGCGGUGAAAUGCGUUGAUAUCGGAAGGAACACCUGUGGCGAAAGCGGCGCACUGGACCUCUUCUGACGCUGAGGCGCGAAAGCUAGGGUAGCGAACGGG